rnacentral:rRNA from 1 species
GACGAACGCUGGCGGCGUGCUUAACACAUGCAAGUCGAACGGAAAGGCCUCUUUCGGGGGGUACUCGAGUGGCGAACGGGUGAGUAACACGUGAGUAACCUGCCCUUGACUUUGGGAUAACUUCAGGAAACUGGGGCUAAUACCGGAUAGGAGCUCCUGCUGCAUGGUGGGGGUUGGAAAGUUUCGGCGGUUGGGGAUGGACUCGCGGCUUAUCAGCUUGUUGGUGGGGUAGUGGCUUACCAAGGCUUUGACGGGUAGCCGGCCUGAGAGGGUGACCGGCCACAUUGGGACUGAGAUACGGCCCAGACUCCUACGGGAGGCAGCAGUGGGGAAUAUUGCACAAUGGGUGGAAGCCUGAUGCAGCAACGCCGUGUGCGGGAUGACGGCCUUCGGGUUGUAAACCGCUUUCGCUCAUGACAAAGCUUUGUGUGACGGUAGUGGGUAAAGAAGCACCGGCUAACUACGUG